rnacentral:rRNA from 1 species
UGUGGGGCGGGCAGGUCGACGAUUCGCGGCCUAUCAGCUUGUUGGUGGGGUGAAGGCCUACCAAGGCGAUUACGGGUAGCCGGCCUGAGAGGGCGACCGGCCACACUGGGACUGAGACACGGCCCAGACUCCUACGGGAGGCAGCAGUGGGGAAUAUUGCGCAAUGGGCGGAAGCCUGACGCAGCGACGCCGCGUGGGGGAUGACGGCCUUCGGGUUGUAAACCUCUUUUACCACCGACGCAGGCCCGCGCUUCUGUGCGGGUUGACGGUAGGUGGGGAAUAAGGACCGGCCAACUACGUGCCAGCAGCCGCGGUAAUACGUAGGGUCCGAGCGUUGUCCGGAAUUAUUGGGCGUAAAGAGCUCGUAGGUGGUGUGUCGCGUCUGCUGUGUAAGUCCGGGGCUUAACUCCGGUUUUGCAGUGGAUACGGACAUGCUAGAGGUAGGCAGGGGAGACUGGAAUUCCUGGUGUAGCGGUGAAAUGCGCAGAUAUCAGGAGGAACACCGGUGGCGAAGGCGGGUCUCUGGGCCUUACCUGACGCUGAGGAGCGAAAGCGUGGGGAGCGAACAGGAUUAGAUACCCUGGUAGUCCACGCUGUAAACGUUGGGCGCUAGGUGUGGGGACCUUCCACGGUUUCCGUGCCGUAGCUAACGCAUUAAGCGCCCCGCCUGGGGAGUACGGAAU